rnacentral:rRNA from 1 species
UACAGAGGGGGCAAGCGUUGUUCGGAAUUACUGGGCGUAAAGGGCGCGUAGGCGGCCUGUUAAGUCGAACGUGAAAUCCCCGGGCUCAACCCGGGAACUGCGUCCGAUACUGGCAGGCUUGAAUCCGGGAGAGGGAUGCGGAAUUCCAGGUGUAGCGGUGAAAUGCGUAGAUAUCUGGAAGAACACCCGUGGCGAAGGCGGCUCUCUGGGACGGUACUGACGCUGAGACGCGAAAGCGUGGGGAGCGAACAGG